rnacentral:rRNA from 1 species
AGCAGCCGCGGUAAUUCCAGCUCCAAUAGCGUAUAUUAAAGUUGUUGCAGUUAAAAAGCUCGUAGUUGAAUUUCGGGAUCAAUUUAUUGGUCGUGCUAUUGUACGUACUGGUAUUAUUGAUUCCUACCUUCUGACGAACCACGAUGUCAUUAAUUUGGUGUCAUGGGGAAUCAGGACUGUUACUUUGAAAAAAUUAGAGUGUUUAAAGCAGGCUCACGCUUGAAUACAUUAGCAUGGAAUAACGAAAUAGGACGUUUGAUUCUAUUUUGUUGGUUUCUAGGAUCGACGUAAUGAUUAAUAGGGAUAGUUGGGGGCAUUAGUAUUCAAUUGUCAGAGGUGAAAUUCUUGGAUUUAUUGAAGACUAACUACUGCGAAAGCAUUUGCCAAGGAUGUUUUCAUUAAUCAAGAACGAAAGUUAGGGGAUCGAAGACGAUCAGAUACCGUCGUAGUCUUAACCAUAAACUAUGCCGACUAGGGAUCGGAUGAUGUUAAUUUUUAAUGACUCAUUCGGCGCCUUACG